GAAGGGCUUGGAUAUGAUAUUCUUAGUGGAGACUCAGUGUUGAUGGACGUUGCUGGUAAUGUUUGGGUAGUGGAAUUAUUGACAACUACUGUAUAUAAUUUUUGGAACUGGAUCUCACAUGAAUAAGGUCGCCCAGGUAUUUCCAGAGCAAAAUACGAGGAUUUAAUGAGGCUCAUGAAGUACUGUAAUCAGAGGGCAGUGAAGUUUCGCUAUGCAUUUUCAAAUGACUGAUAAUUUGGAACACAACUGAGACUUAUCUGGUUUCUUUCCCGAAAAAUUGGUAGUUUGAGUGCAUUUUCUAUUUAGUUUCGUAUUAUGGGUGUUACACAGAUUGAAAAACCAACUUAUCUG